AUUGAACGCUGGCGGCAGGCUUAACACAUGCAAGUCGAACGGAACCUUCGGGUUUAGUGGCGAACGGGUGAGUAAUACCUAGGAAUCUGCCUAUUAGUGGGGGAUAACGGCUCGAAAGGGUCGCUAAUACCGCAUACGUCCUACGGGAGAAAGAGGGGGAUCUUCGGACCUCUUGCUAAUAGAUGAGCCUAGGCCGGAUUAGCUAGUUGGUAGGGUAAAGGCCUACCAAGGCGACGAUCCGUAGCUGGUCUGAGAGGAUGAUCAGCCACACUGGAACUGAGACACGGUCCAGACUCCUACGGGAGGCAGCAGUGGGGAAUAUUGGACAAUGGGGGCAACCCUGAUCCAGCCAUGCCGCGUGUGUGAAGAAGGCCUUCGGGUUGUAAGGACUCUUUCGGUACGGAACGAAAUUAGCUUGGACUAAUACUCUGAGUAGAUGACGGUACCGUAAGAAGAAGACACCGGCUAACUACGUGCCAGCAGCCGCGGUAA
rnacentral:rRNA from 1 species